UGAACGCUGGCGGCGUGCCUAAUACAUGCAAGUCGAGCGAACGGACGAGAAGCUUGCUUCUCUGAUGUUAGCGGCGGACGGGUGAGUAACACGUGGAUAACCUACCUAUAAGACUGGGAUAACUUCGGGAAACCGGAGCUAAUACCGGAUAAUAUUUUGAACCGCAUGGUUCAAAAGUGAAAGACGGUCUUGCUGUCACUUAUAGAUGGAUCCGCGCUGCAUUAGCUAGUUGGUAAGGUAACGGCUUACCAAGGCAACGAUGCAUAGCCGACCUGAGAGGGUGAUCGGCCACACUGGAACUGAGACACGGUCCAGACUCCUACGGGAGGCAGCAGUAGGGAAUCUUCCGCAAUGGGCGAAAGCCUGACGGAGCAACGCAGCGUGAGUGAUGAAGGUCUUCGGAUCGUAAAACUCUGUUAUUAGGGAAGAACAUAUGUGUAAGUAACUGUGCACGUCUUGACGGUACCUAAUCAGAAAGCCACGGCUAACUACGU
rnacentral:rRNA from 1 species